rnacentral:rRNA from 1 species
UACGUAGGUGGCAAGCGUUAUCCGGAAUUAUUGGGCGUAAAGCGCGCGCAGGCGGUUUCUUAAGUCUGAUGUGAAAGCCCACGGCUCAACCGUGGAGGGUCAUUGGAAACUGGGGAACUUGAGUGCAGAAGAGAAAAGCGGAAUUCCACGUGUAGCGGUGAAAUGCGUAGAGAUGUGGAGGAACACCAGCGGCGAAGGCGGCUUUUUGGUCUGUAACUGACGCUGAGGCGCGAAAGCGUGGGGAGCAAACAGG